rnacentral:tRNA from 1 species
CUCUCGAAAUCGGUAGACGCUACGGACUUAAUUGGAUUGAGCCUUGGUAUGGAAAAUCCGUCGACUUUAGAAAUCGUGAGC